rnacentral:lncRNA from 1 species
GUUCAAGGUUAAACUUUCCACUACAGCAUAUUAGUUGGUAAAAGACAAAGGACAUUGAUCAGCAGCGAUAUGGGAACAUACAUUUCACAAAAGAUUUUCAGUUACAGUACCUGAAGAUAGAUCGAUAUUUUCUAUUUGCCUUAGCACUAGGCUUAUUUUCCCUCAUCACUGGAGAGACAUGCAGUUGUGCUUGGUACCAGGACAUUAAAGUGUUGUCCGCUGAAGAACUGCAGGGCAAACAACAGCACUUUCCAGGAGCCACUGACACACAGGAAUACAUCACUCUUCUUGAGUGUCUUUUUCCUGCUCGUUAAAGAACCCAAAUUUGUCCCRCCUUUACGAGGCUGGCUGUGCUGCGACCCGCGGCACCGCGUCGCUGCCCUGCGUGCGUGUGCCCGUGCAGGAUGUGCACGGUUUGAGAAACUAAUUUUGGAGGCUGAACCCGUCCUAGGGCAGCCUYCGCCUGGGAUCCCAGCGAUGCUGCYGCCGCUGCCUUCGCCCUCCUCCAGCGCGGAGCAGGACCGCUGCCGGCGCGGGGUCUGGUGGCCUGGCCUGGAUGUACGGGAGAMGAGAAACACCAUUUAUUGCUGCUGAUCCAGCUGCAAUUCAGCAGAUCUGUGUGCGUUCGCUCGGGUCGUCGAUCACCGCGCAGAAGAGAUGGCAGAGUGCCUCCUUGCUCCCAGGAACGGCCUUGCUGCCUGCUCGCCGCCUCUCAGGGCCCCGACGCCCUUAUGAAAUUCCACUUGGGCUCCUGCAUCAUCAUCAUUUAAAUUAAAAUGCUUCCAUCAUCGAAACCGGCCCGUCUCGCUGAGAAUUUUAGAGAAAUUCAUCUGCCUUUCUGUAAUACAGAUCAGCUGAGCAGAACGGCCUGAACUAAAGCUCGGCUAGAGGUUUGUUGUGACCGGCAAUGGGAGCAGCUCAUCCGAGGGUGGUUGUUUGGGUGUUUGGUUAAGCGAAGGGGAGGCAGGACAAGGGGAAUGGGCCGCAGAGCUGACUGCUCCUUGGCYCUUGCGUGGGAUGCUGCAUGGGGAGCUC